rnacentral:rRNA from 1 species
GAGUUUGAUCCUGGCUCAGGAUGAACGCUGGCGGCGUGCUUAACACAUGCAAGUCGAGCGAUGAAGUUUCCUUCGGGAAACGGAUUAGCGGCGGUCGGGUGAGUAACACGUGGGUAACCUGCCUCAUAGAGUGGAAUAGCCUUCCGUAAGGAAGAUUAAUACCGCAUAAUGUUGAAAGAUGGCAUCAUCAUUCAACCAAAGGAGCAAUCCGCUAUGAGAUGGACCCGCGGCGCAUUAGCUAGUUGGUGGGGUAACGGCCUACCAAGGCGACGAUGCGUAGCCGACCUGAGAGGGUGAUCGGCCACAUUGGGACUGAGACACGGCCCAGACUCCUACGGGAGGCAGCAGUGGGGAAUAUUGCACAAUGGGGGAAACCCUGAUGCAGCAACGCCGCGUGAGUGAUGAAGGUUUUCGGAUCGUAAAGCUCUGUCUUUGGGGAAGAUAAUGACGGUACCCAAGGAGGAAGCCACGGCUAACUACGUGCCAGCAGCCGCGGUAAUACGUAGGUGGCGAGCGUUAUCCGGAUUUACUGGGCGUAAAGGGAGCGUAGGCGGAUGAUUAAGUGGGAUGUGAAAUACCCGGGCUCAACUUGGGUGCUGCAUUCCAAACUGGUUAUCUAGAGUGCAGGAGAGGAGAGUGGAAUUCCUAGUGUAGCGGUGAAAUGCGUAGA